rnacentral:rRNA from 1 species
CAUGGCUCAGGAUGAACGCUAGCGGCAGGCCUAAUACAUGCAAGUCGAACGAGAUUAUCCAGCUUGCUGGAUAUGAAAGUGGCGCACGGGUGCGUAACGCGUGAGCAACCUACCUCUGUCAGGGGGAUAGCCCGGCGAAAGUCGGAUUAACACCGCAUGACAUUAUUGAUGUGGCAUCACAUUAUAAUCAAAUAUUUAUAGGACAGAGAUGGGCUCGCGUGACAUUAGCUAGUUGGAGAGGUAACGGCUCACCAAGGCAACGAUGUCUAGGGGCUCUGAGAGGAGAAUCCCCCACACUGGUACUGAGACACGGACCAGACUCCUACGG